rnacentral:rRNA from 1 species
UUCCCCUAGUAACUGCGAGUGAAGCGGGAAAAGCUCAAAUUUAAAAUCUGGCAGUCUUUGGCUGUCCGAGUUGUAAUCUAGAGAAGUAUUAUCCGCGCUGGACCGUGUACAAGUCUCCUGGAAUGGAGCGUCAUAGAGGGUGAGAAUCCCGUCUUUGACACGGACUGCCAGGGCUUUGUGAUAUGCUCUCAAAGAGUCGAGUUGUUUGGGAAUGCAGCUCAAAAUGGGUGGUAAAUUCCAUCUAAAGCUAAAUAUUGGCGAGAGACCGAUAGCGAACAAGUACCGUGAGGGAAAGAUGAAAAGAACUUUGGAAAGAGAGUUAAACAGUACGUGAAAUUGCUGAAAGGGAAACGCUUGAAGUCAGUCGCGUUGGCCAGGGAUCAACCUUGCUUUUGCUUGGCUUACUUUCUGGUCGAUGGGUCAGCAUCAAUUUUGACUGGUGGAAAAAGUUCAAGGGAAUGUGGCAUCUUCGGAUGUGUUAUAGCCUUUGUUCACAUACAUUGGUUGGGAUUGAGGAACUCAGCACGCCGCAAGSCCGGGUUUUUAACCACGUACGUGCUUAGGAUGCUGGCAUAAUGGCUUUAAUCGACCCGUCUUGAAACACGGACCAAGGAGUCUAACAUGCCUGCGAGUAUUUGGGUGAAAAACCCGAGUGCGUAAUGAAAGUGAAAGUUGAGAUCCCUGUCGUGGGGAGCAUUGACGCCCGGAUCUGACCUUUUGUGACGAUUCUGCGGUAGAGCAUGUAUGUUGGGACCCGAAAGAUGGUGAACUAUGCCUGAAUAGGGUGAAGCCAGAGGAAACUCUGGUGGAGGCUCGUAGCGAUUCUGACGUGCAAAUCGAUCGUCAAAUUUGGGUAUAGGGGCGAAAGACU